rnacentral:lncRNA from 1 species
GGGAGUUGCUGUUGUGCAAGGCACUGCACAAACACCUACCAAAGUCAGUCCUGGCUCCUAACACUGGAUGUGAGCUGAGGAAAAGCAGAUGAGGUGGGUGGGCAAGAAAUGCAAGGAAAGCAAGAUAAUGCUGGAUACCACAAUGAGCUGCCAACCCUUGCCAAAAAUUCUUUCUGCAUCAAAGGAGGUGAGCAGGAAAAUGCUGAAGGUAGAUAAGGUGGCUUUUUGCAUUGCUUUUUUAGUGUUUACAGGAAUCUGCAACACCUCAUUUGGCUCCCACACCACCACCUCUCUAAUGGAUGUACCUGGUACUGUGAGCAGAGUAACACAACCUCAGCCUCAGUAUGUGGGAGAGUUUCGGUCCGGGGGAAAUAAUAAUAAUAAAAAAUAUUGGCGUAGAAACGUGCGAAUUAGAGGCUUGUCUAACGCCUGUCUUCUAAGCCCAGCAGCCACUCAGUGGUGUGAUGAUGUGCUGCACGUAUUUACCUACCACGGGGAACCGCUGCCUUCCAGCUUUAUAAAAUCACACCGAAAACUACUGAGGAAGCUCAAAGACUUUUCUUCCACAGUGGUCACACGUAUUCCUCAUGCAGCAGACUUCACAUUUAGACAAAAAAAAAAAAAAAAAAAAAGGCCGGAGAAGCAGCAAGUGGUUCACGUAAAACCCAGCACGGCGCACCUCCCGCGCGCUAAACCACACACGCUCUUAGGUGGGGCCGAACGCCCAAAACCAAACUGCAGCUACAAAGGGCGAAUUCAAACAACGCAAAAAAUUAAUUCGUUAACUUCACCCCCUGUGAAACUCGACCCCGACACUGUUACCAGCAGGAUCAGCUGUAUUCACCAGGGCGAGGGUGUUGUUCUGGCGAGGAGCUACUGGUGCUCGCGAGGGCCUGCGGGACAAGACUUCAACUUACAGUACUUCAGAAAACCAGUAAAAUCCACAGCAAAAUUCCAGGAUCCACAGUUUUUUCUCAACACUGCUGAGGAGAAGACAAGUAUGAUGCUUCUUGUUACUUCCAUUUUUUUGCAUUGUCAUCUCAUCCAGUUUUAAACAACAAGGGACAGAUCUGGAAGCCCGAUUCCUAUAAAGUUUAUUUGUUAAGCACAGGAAAAAAUAAAACUCAAACAAAAAACUAAUUUUUUUUUUUU